rnacentral:tRNA from 1 species
GCCGGGAUGGCCGAGCGGACUAAGGCGCAGGCCUGGAGAGCCUGUGGGCCCUCUGGGCCCUCGUGGGUUCAAAUCCCACUCCCGGCG